rnacentral:rRNA from 1 species
AUUGAACGCUGGCGGCAUGCCUUACACAUGCAAGUCGAACGGCAGCACGGGAGCUUGCUCCUGGUGGCGAGUGGCGAACGGGUGAGUAAUGCAUCGGAACGUGCCCUGAAGUGGGGGAUAACGUAGCGAAAGUUACGCUAAUACCGCAUAUUCUGUGAGCAGGAAAGCAGGGGAUCUUCGGACCUUGCGCUUUUGGAGCGGCCGAUGUCGGAUUAGCUAGUUGGUGGGGUAAAGGCCCACCAAGGCGACGAUCCGUAGCGGGUCUGAGAGGAUGAUCCGCCACACUGGAACUGAGACACGGUCCAGACUCCUACGGGAGGCAGCAGUGGGGAACUUUGGACAAUGGGCGCAAGCCUGAUCCAGCCAUGCCGCGUGAGUGAAGAAGGCCUGGUGUAAG